ACUAACAAGGAUUCCCCUAGUAACUGCGAGUGAAGAGGGAAGAGCUCAAAUUUUGAAUCUGGCGGCAUUCUGCCGUCCGAGUUGUAAUCUAGAGAAGCGUCUUCCGCGCUGGACCGUGUACAAGUCUCCUGGAAGGGAGCGUCGUAGAGGGUGAGAAUCCCGUCUCUGACACGGACUACCAGUGCUAUGUGAUGCGCUCUCGACGAGUCGAGUUGUUUGGGAAUGCAGCUCAAAACGGGUGGUAAAUUCCAUCUAAAGCUAAAUACAUGCGAGAGACCGAUAGCGAACAAGUACCGUGAGGGAAAGAUGAAAAGAACUUUGGAAAGAGAGUUAAACAGUACGUGAAAUUGCUGAAAGGGAAACGCUUGAUGUCAGUCGCGUCGGCCGGGGAUCAACCUUGCUUCUCGCUGGGUGUACUUCUCGGUCGACGGGUCAGCAUCAGUUUCGGUCGCCGUACAAGGGCGAGGGGAAUGUGGCACUCUUCGGAGUGUGUUAUAGCCUUUCGUCGUAUGCGGCGCUCGGGACUGAGGAACUCAGCACGGCUUCGGUCUGUGCUUAGGAUGCUGGCAUAAUGGCCUUAAGCGACCCGUCUG
rnacentral:rRNA from 1 species